CCAAUAGCGUAUAUUAAAGUUGUUGCAGUUAAAAAGCUCGUAGUCGAAUUUCGGGGUUAGUAGGUUGGUCAUGCCUCUGGUAUGUACUGGUCUCACUGAUUCCCCCUUCCUGAUGAGCCGUAAUGCCAUUAAUUUGGUGUUGCGGGGAAUUUGGACUGUUACUUUGAAAAAAUUAGAGUGUUUAAAGCAGGCUCACGCUUGAAUACAUUAGCAUGGAAUAACGAAAUAGGACGUUUGAUUCUAUUUUGUUGGUUUCUAGGAUCGACGCAAUGAUUAAUAGGGAUAGUUGGGGGCAUUAGUAUUCAAUUGUCAGAGGUGAAAUUCUUGGAUUUAUUGAAGACUAACUACUGCGAAAGCAUUUGCCAAGGAUGUUUUCAUUAAUCAAGAACGAAAGUUAGGGGAUCGAAGACGAUCAGAUACCGUCGUAGUCUUAACCAUAAACUAUGCCGACUAGGGAUCGGAUGAUGUUAAUUUUUUAAUGACUCAUUCGGCGCCUUACG
rnacentral:rRNA from 1 species